rnacentral:misc_RNA from 1 species
GAAGCAGCAGCAACAGCAGCCCUACGCCAUUAAAGCUUACAAAUCUCACACAAAAUAAGAAAAUGAAGGUUAUCGCUUCUUACUUGUUAGCUGUGUUGGGUGGCAACACCUCCCCAUCUGCUGCAGAUUUGAAGAAGAUCCUUGCUUCUGUUGGAGCUGAAGCUGAUGAUGAUAGGAUUGAACUCCUCUUGUCCCAAGUAAAGGGCAAGGACAUCACUGAGCUGAUUGCUGCUGGCAGGGAGAAGUUGGCUUCAGUACCCUCUGGUGGCGGUGGUGGAGUUGCAGUAGCUGUAUCUGGUGGUGGUGGUGCUGCAGCACCAGCUGCCGAGGAGAAGAAAGAGGAAAAGAAGGUGGAAGAGAAAGAGGAAUCUGAUGAUGACAUGGGCUUCAGUCUCUUCGAUUAGAGGAAUGUUUAACUGGUUUCUGUAUGAAUGGUCUUGUUCCCCAGUUCCCGUUGAGUUUAUUCUGGGAAUCUUUUUGUCAACUUACUGUUUUCGCUUUUAGUUUAGUUAAUGCACCUAUAUUUUGCUUGGUAAACAUCUUGAGUCAAUUGGAAAUUACUAGUAUUGUUGGA